rnacentral:rRNA from 1 species
AUUGAACGCUGGCGGCAGGCUUAACACGUGCAAGUCGAGCGAGGGAAGGUAGCUUGCUACCGGACCUAGCGGCGGACGGGUGAGUAAUGCUUAGGAAUCUGCCUAUUAGUGGGGGACAACAUCUCGAAAGGGAUGCUAAUACCGCAUACGUCCUACGGGAGAAAGCAGGGGAUCUUCGGACCUUGCGCUAAUAGAUGAGCCUAAGUCGGAUUAGCUAGUUGGUGGGGUAAAGGCCUACCAAGGCGACGAUCUGUAGCGGGUCUGAGAGGAUGAUCCGCCACACUGGGACUGAGACACGGCCCAGACUCCUACGGGAGGCAGCAGUGGGGAAUAUUGGACAAUGGGGGGAACCCUGAUCCAGCCAUGCCGCGUGUGUGAAGAAGGCCUUAUGGUUGUAAAGCACUUUAAGCGAGGAGGAGGCUACUUUAGUUAAUACCUAGAGAUAGUGGACGUUACUCGCAGAAUAAGCACCGGCUAACUCUGUGCCAGCAGCCGCGGUAA